ACUUCCCACCAACCUGGACUCCGCACUUUCGAAGUGCGAGUGAUCAAACUGCUACUGAAAACUGCGAGCUGUCAAAUCACAUGUAUUUCAAGUGAUAGAGAUGGUAUUUUCAUGGACAGACCAGUCGAGCUAACCAGUCUAUGAGAAGAAUUCAAUAGAAGAAUAGUAAGUGCGCAGUGUGGUUAGAAUCCAGUUUUUACUGCCACAAGCAAUAAACGGAAAAUAUAAAAAUUCGAUUUGUUAACAUUUUGCAGUUUGGCCCUUUUCAAAUAUUUGACUAGAUUUACAAUGUUUCAAUUAUAAUUUGCAGCUCACUAACAAAUUCGAACGUCGACUAGACUCGAAUUCAUCGGAGAUUGUUGGCAUCAGUAUGCUGUAGCACGAAGGCGAUGUAAUAGUGAAAAAUCAGAAACUUCUUUCGCACCCAUGUCCCUUCUGUGAUAUUCAAGGGCCAAGCAUACUAGUGAUGUGCAAAACGGCUGCAGAAUCACCUCGGUCCGGGCGGAGAUACCUUGCACGGCGAUAGUUUCUUUUGGCGAUGAGCCGCUUAGAGUGCUACUAGUGUGGUAUGUGUUUAUCUUUGGUUUCAUCCCUACCAAGGUAAAUUCGGUUGUGUUGCUGUCAGCUUUGCAGCUAACAGAUAACCAUGUGCAGCACAGAACGACAUCAAGGAGAACAAGAACAGUGUCGACAGAUGCUCCUUAUUCUGGACGGUGAAGGUUUCCAUCGAUCGAGAGGAUCUACGAGCACGUCAGGUUUUGGCGGCGCAUAUCAGCAAGCUUGUACCGUGGAUGCAAUAUUUCAAUAUUGGAAAAACAAACUCAUUGAGAAGGAAUCGUCGCCAGUUCAAUGACCUUAUUUUCACCAUCAGUCUCAACAUAUUUUCGAUUCCAACAUAUUUUCGGAGAAGCUCGAAGCAGAUUGUGAUAUGCAUUCCAAAGAAAACCAGACACAGGAGAACGUUGAGAUUCGAUGGAAUAUGGGAUUGAACAAGAAAACAAUUGUCUAUUCGAUGUUGACAUGAAGGUUGAUGUUGGGAUUUACAAGCGAACUGCAAAAAUCAUUGGUGUGCAAUGAAAGUUCCCAAUAUUUACGGACAAGACAAGAUAUUUAUUUUCAAUUGAAAUACAAACAUCAGUCACAGGUCGAGUGCGCCUUACGCUAUGCGGUGGAUUUUAUCUAAGAAGAUCUACUCGUGGAUAUUGGGAUACGGCCAUCAAAAUGGUUCCAAUGAUGUUACACUCUGUAUCAACAAUUUGCCAAUGUGCUUCAGUGCUCCGAGCUUGCCUGAUUCGUUCCCAGAUGUAGGUCGUUAACCCAUUAUAACCCAGCUAUGUUAAAACUUUUGGUAAUUUAUAAAAUACUUCGUGAGCUCUCAUAUUAUGUCGAAUUAAGUAUGGGAAAAAUAAAAUAACCACUUUGGACCGUUUCGUUGCGAAAAAAACUAACGUAUGAAAUUUCAUACGCUGGGCUGAUAGGGUAUCAAAAAAUCAUUACAGAGAAAAAGAAAAAGAACAUUUUCUUACGAGAAUUUACAUAAAAAAUAUUCCGGGUAGAACCAGGUAUGAUUUGCUACGUAUUAAGCAUUUGUUAGCCUUGAAUGUACUGAUUCAACUUUAAAAUCAGCGUGAAAGUUGUAAAUCUCCUCCUAAUCCUAAAGAGGAAAUAAUUUUGCCUUGGGAAAAAAGAUAUCGGUUCAGCCUAGCGUAUGAAAUUUCAUACGUUGAACUACCAGCAGAAUGUUUGCAAUUGUUUCACCAAUUUCUUCCAUUUUUUCGCACUGAGCCUCAUCUUUCACAUCUCUUAUGGCCAUUCGUUCACAAUCCGAAACAAGAAUUAGUGAUUUAGAAGAGAAAAUUAAUAAUAUGUAUUGUUCACAUUUUGGUUUGAAUUUUAUCCAACUUUGACAUUCGAAAACACAAUGGAAUUUAAUAAAAAAUGAUUAUUGAGCAUACACAUUAUAAACUAUAGGGUAU